rnacentral:rRNA from 1 species
AAAUUGAAGAGUUUGAUCAUGGCUCAGAUUGAACGCUGGCGGCAGGCCUAACACAUGCAAGUCGAACGGUAACAGGAAGCAGCUUGCUGCUUUGCUGACGAGUGGCGGACGGGUGAGUAAUGUCUGGGAAACUGCCUGAUGGAGGGGGAUAACUACUGGAAACGGUGGCUAAUACCGCAUAACGUCGCAAGACCAAAGAGGGGGACCUUCGGGCCUCUUGCCAUCAGAUGUGCCCAGAUGGGAUUAGCUAGUUGGUGAGGUAACGGCUCACCAAGGCGACGAUCCCUAGCUGGUCUGAGAGGAUGACCAGCCACACUGGAACUGAGACACGGUCCAGACUCCUACGGGAGGCAGCAGUGGGGAAUAUUGCACAAUGGGCGCAAGCCUGAUGCAGCCAUGCCGCGUGUAUGAAGAAGGCCUUCGGGUUGUAAAGUACUUUCAGCGGGGAGGAAGGUGUUGUGGUUAAUAACCACAGCAAUUGACGUUACCCGCAGAAGAAGCACCGGCUAACUCCGUGCCAGCAGCCGCGGUAAUACGGAGGGUGCAAGCGUUAAUCGGAAUUACUGGGCGUAAAGCGCACGCAGGCGGUCUGUCAAGUCGGAUGUGAAAUCCCCGGGCUCAACCUGGGAACUGCAUUCGAAACUGGCAGGCUUGAGUCUUGUAGAGGGGGGUAGAAUUCCAGGUGUAGCGGUGAAAUGCGUAGAGAUCUGGAGGAAUACCGGUGGCGAAGGCGGCCCCCUGGACAAAGACUGACGCUCAGGUGCGAAAGCGUGGGGAGCAAACAGGAUUAGAUACCCUGGUAGUCCACGCCGUAAACGAUGUCUACUUGGAGGUUGUGCCCUUGAGGCGUGGCUUCCGGAGCUAACGCGUUAAGUAGACCGCCUGGGGAGUACGGCCGCAAGGUUAAAACUCAAAUGAAUUGACGGGGGCCCGCACAAGCGGUGGAGCAUGUGGUUUAAUUCGAUGCAACGCGAAGAACCUUACCUGGUCUUGACAUCCACAGAAGAAUCCAGAGAUGGAUUUGUGCCUUCGGGAACUGUGAGACAGGUGCUGCAUGGCUGUCGUCAGCUCGUGUUGUGAAAUGUUGGGUUAAGUCCCGCAACGAGCGCAACCCUUAUCCUUUGUUGCCAGCGGUCCGGCCGGGAACUCAAAGGAGACUGCCAGUGAUAAACUGGAGGAAGGUGGGGAUGACGUCAAGUCAUCAUGGCCCUUACGACCAGGGCUACACACGUGCUACAAUGGCGCAUACAAAGAGAAGCGACCUCGCGAGAGCAAGCGGACCUCAUAAAGUGCGUCGUAGUCCGGAUUGGAGUCUGCAACUCGACUCCAUGAAGUCGGAAUCGCUAGUAAUCGUGGAUCAGAAUGCCACGGUGAAUACGUUCCCGGGCCUUGUACACACCGCCCGUCACACCAUGGGAGUGGGUUGCAAAAGAAGUAGGUAGCUUAACCUUCGGGAGGGCGCUUACCACUUUGUGAUUCAUGACUGGGGUGAAGUCGUAACAAGGUAACCGUAGGGGAACCUGCGGUUGGAUCACCUCCUUA